GAUGAACGCUGGCGGCGUGCUUAACACAUGCAAGUCGAACGGAAAGGCUCCUGCUUGCAGGGGUACUCGAGUGGCGAACGGGUGAGUAACACGUGGGUGAUCUGCCCUGCACUUCGGGAUAAGCCUGGGAAACUGGGUCUAAUACCGGAUAGGACGAUGGUUUGGAUGCCAUUGUGGAAAGUUUUUUCGGUGUGGGAUGAGCUCGCGGCCUAUCAGCUUGUUGGUGGGGUAAUGGCCUACCAAGGCGUCGACGGGUAGCCGGCCUGAGAGGGUGUACGGCCACAUUGGGACUGAGAUACGGCCCAGACUCCUACGGGAGGCAGCAGUGGGGAAUAUUGCACAAUGGGCGCAAGCCUGAUGCAGCGACGCCGCGUGGGGGAUGACGGCCUUCGGGUUGUAAACUCCUAUCGCUAGGGACGAAGCGCAAGUGACGGUACCUGGAGAAGAAGCACCGGCUAACUACGUG
rnacentral:rRNA from 1 species